CACAACAGAGAACAAAAACAGCAGCAGAGAGAACGGGAGGAAGAAGGGGAGAAGCGGCGGUUCUGGAAUCUGGAAGCCGAAGCGGAAUCAAAGGCGGACUCGACGGCGUCGCCGCCGGCACCAACCACCGCCGCAGCAUCCACACGCACCCUCCGCCUUCGCCUGCAAGGGGCCAGAGGCGCGUAGCCCAGGAUGUUUUUGAGUCCAGCAUCACAGCCCAUUCUGUUACCCAUCGAUAGAUACUAGCCCAACACACGGAAGCUUCCAGUUUCGGAGUGGAGUGUGGAGUCAUCGGACUCGAGGGCGGCGCUGGAGGAGCCCCCGCCGCCGCACCGCCAUCUACCAGUCUACCUCCACUCACGGUCAGCUGGUCAGGCAUAGAAGCUUCUUUCACCUGCAAGUUAUCAGCCCGUUCGGUGGGCUUCUGCUGCUGCGCUGGGCUUCUUCCGGUUGGGCUUUUCAGCCCAGCCGUUCGGAGCGCUUCACCGACGCCGUUCGAGCGGCUGCUCCACCGACGCGUUCCUCCCAAAUCCCUGUCGCCUCCCGUCCUCAUCCACAGACGCCACAUACGCCCGUCGCUCUCUCUCGCUCCCUUUCCGCCGCUGCCGCUCCCUCCGCUCACCCGCUCCCUCGCUUGCGCCCGCUCUCCGCCGCCGGCCGGCCGUCGCGUCGCCCGCUCCGUCGCGCUUGGUCGCGUGACGCCGCCGUCGCUCCCGCAUCUCGCCCCCUCCGUCGAUCGCGGUCGCUCCGGAUCUGCCGCCGCCGCUCCCUCCGCUCACCCGCUCCCUCGCUUGUGCCCGCUCUCCGCCGUCGGCCGGCCAUCGCGUCGCCCGCUCCGUCGCGCUCGGCCGCGCGACGCCGCCGUCGCUCCUGCAUCUCGCCCCCUCCGUCGGUCGCGGUCGCUCCGGAUCCGCCGCCGCCGCUCCCUCCGCUCACCCGCUCCCUCGGUCGCGCCCGUUCUCCGCCGUCGGUGGGCCGUCGCGUGCAAGGAAUUUCUCCCAGUCCGUCGCCCCCUCCCUCCCCUUCGCUCACAGGCGACUGAUACAAGCCUACUAGCAGGCCAAUCGCGAGGAAGUACCAACGGUGCCCACACUGGCAUCGUCAUCGACUUCAUCGUGCUCUCUCCCACCGGUGUGCCCGUACAAUUUUCGCCACAAACGCGCCAAGACACAUGCUAAGGCAAAUAACAUAUCCAGUAAUUUUAGAUUGUUUAGUUGUAUGCCUCCUGGUUAUCCGUAGCUCGGUGCAAUAUAAUUGCAGCUCCUGUGUACUCAGAUGAAUAACCGUGCCAGCUGGGAUAAGGGAACGACGAAAACUUUGCUGGUUGUGCAUUGCUCAGAAGAACCAGUUCAAUUGGAGCAACAGAUGCCUCACUAAGUUGGGAUGGAAGAACGUGUACUCAAGCUUCAGGGCACAAACUGGGUUGCAUUUGGGCAGCAAGCAGCUGCAGAACAAGCUCAACAACCUGAGAAGAACAUUCCUGAGUUGGAUGGCCUUGCAAAAGCAAUCUGGUUUAGGGCGCGACACACAAACUGGUGGUGUUUCUGUUGAUGCCACCUAUUGGGAAGAGGACGAAGAGGACACCACUGGUGGUGAUGCCCCGCCGAGGUCCCAGCCGAGUUCCCAGCCGACUUCUGUUAAGCCUCCACCUUUCCUCGACGAAUUGUUUGAGUUGUUUGGCCAUGAACCUCAAGACAGGGGCACCUUGCUGACGGCAGGAGGUAUUCGUGAGACGACACCUAGCGUGGGGACUGAGGGCAGUGCAGCGGACUUGGACCAGGACCCCCCGCCUGCUAGUAGUGCUCGUGCCAUGUCCAAACGGUCGGCCCGGGAAUUCUCUAUGGACAGUCCUACAAAAAAAGAAGUGACAACUUGGAGCAGUACAUCAGGGAGCUAUCUGAGAGUGUGGCAAAGAGGAGCCUGCAACGUGCAUGCCGUACCAAUGAACAAAUGGUUCGUUGUAUGCAGCUCCUUAAAGAAGAUGGUAUACAGGAGGGGUCUCCGCUUCACUGCCAGGCUGUAUAUUUAUGUACUAAGAGCGCGGAGUAUCGGUCGGUGUUGAUGGAGAUGACAAUGAAAGAGGACCGAAUGAGCUGGAUACAAUUCUACUGGGACAUGACCAACAAGAAGUGAUUGUGCCAUGACUUUGUUUUAUUGUAGUGAUGUGUAGUGAUGGGUUUUGAAAAUAAUGUUUGCACUUGUGUUGGAACAGUAAUGUUAACUUCUGUAACAUGUCCUGUUCGUUGAACCUUUCUUUUUAGUGCUAGUUCAAUUCCUUUGAAGUUUGUUGCCAUCCAUGCUUAGCAAUUUAUUUCAAGUUAAAUUGGAUCA